CCUACGGGAGGCAGCAGUGAGGAAUAUUGGUCAAUGGGGGAAACCCUGAUGCAGCGACGCCGCGUGUGGGAAGACGGUCUUCUGGAUUGUAAACCACUGUCCCCAGGGACGAAAAUGACGGUACCUGACUAAGAAGCCCCGGCUAACUACGUGCCAGCAGCCGCGGUAAUACGUAGGGGGCGAGCGUUAUCCGGAUUCACUGGGUGUAAAGGGAGCGUAGACGGCCAUGCAAGCCAGGGGUGAAAGCCCGGGGCCCAACCCCGGGACUGCCCUUGGAACUGCAUGGCUGGAGUGCGGGAGGGGCAGGCGGAAUUCCUGGUGUAGCGGUGAAAUGCGUAGAUAUCAGGAGGAACACCGGCGGCGAAGGCGGCCUGCUGGACCGCGACUGACGUUGAGGCUCGAAAGCGUGGGGAGCGAACAGGAUUAGAUACCCCUGUAGUC
rnacentral:rRNA from 1 species